rnacentral:rRNA from 1 species
UACAGAGGGUGCGAGCGUUGUCCGGAAUCACUGGGCGUAAAGGGCGCGUAGGUGGCGCUGCAAGUCGGUGGUGAAAGCUCGAUGCUUAACAUCGAGUCGGCCAUCGAAACUGCAGGGCUCGAGCACUGUAGGGGCAGAUGGAAUUCCGGGUGGAGUGGUGAAAUGCGUAGAGAUCCGGAGGAACACCAGAGGCGAAGGCGGCCUACUGGGUCAGUACUGACGCUGAGCCGCGAAAGCCAGGGGAGCGAACGGG